GCAUGGUGGCUCACGCCUAUAAUCCCAGCACUUUCAGAGGCCAAGGCAGGUGGGUCACAAGGUCAAGAGUUUGAGACUAGCCUUAGCAACAUGGUGAAGGUGAACCCCGACUCUACUAAAAAUACAAAAAUUAGCUGGGCCUAGUGGUGUGCACCUGUAAUCCCAGCUACUUAGGAGGCUGAGGCAGGAGAAUCGCUUGAACCCGGGAGACAUAGGUUGCAGUGAGCCGAGACUGCACCACUGCACUCCAGCCUAGGUGACAGAGUGAGACUCCAUCUUAAAAAAUAAAUAAAUAAAAUAAAAUAAAUGACAUCACUCUGGUUCAGAGCUCUAAAAUGGAGGGAGGAAGCCAUUCUAAAAAGGACUCCCUACAUGACCUGCAACUUGAAAAAAAAUUAAAAGCUCCAAAAAAAAAAAAACAAUACGGGAGCUUAUCUUGAACCUUUGAAUUGGGCCAAAUUGCGAUGACCACUGCAUCCUGGAAAAUUUUAUUUCACCAGCACUACAACUCCUCAACAGCACCAACCAAUAAACUAUGGAUUUUUGUACUAAGCCAGUCGCCUCUUUCAAAACAACUUGUCAACUUGUCUAAUCACCCUCAGCUUUUUAAAAAAACCCCUCCUCUACCCUCUCUCUUCAGAACACAAGUGGCUUCUAGCUGAAUCUGUCUCCCAAAUUGCAAUUCCUAAGACCUCAAUAAAAACACCUUGUCUUGCUGC
rnacentral:sRNA from 1 species